UUUUAUUUGAAGUGAGAUUAUUUUUUUUAGAAUUUUAAUGGAGUCCCUUAUAUUAUAAUUUAGUCCUUUUGGUUAAAGACGUCUAAAUAGUUAACGGCUAAAUAUUCAGACGAACAAUCAUUGAAUAAUAUGCCUAAUUGACGGGACAUUUAAGACAUACUGAGGUGAAUUUAUAUUUUUUGAAAGUUAUUUUAUGAUAUUAGGGUUUUUAUUUUCUGAUAUCAUGAUUGUUAUCAUACACUAAUUAAAGUUUCUUUGGCUAAAUUUAUUCGCUCAAGCAAGAAAACGCAUGAGAAUCAAAUUGGGGAUUUUCUCUUCUCAAACACUCAAAAAGUCAUUUUUGGAGUGAUAAUGGCUUUGUGGCUCGAACAACAGCCUCUUGGCGGCGAGGACAGUGACACUGUGGAUGUGCUCUUCUUCCUCCCUUUAUAGCGUACUGUUUGUGUCGUAAGGGAGAGAGCUUCAUCCCUCUUCUCUUUGGUCUUGUCGAGGGUUUGUAGGAAGGGGAUACACGUUCAGGCGAGGCAGAGGCGUGACGAAAGCGCCCAAAGGCAUGGCGGAGGCGACGAGAGUGCGACAGAGGCGACGAGAGUGCAGCGGAGGAUUUCAGUUGUACAUCAAAAUUUGGGGAUUUCUAUUAUGAUUAUCUGAUUUCUUCUGCGAGUUAAGAUGUAGUGUCCAUGGAGAGCUGGUGAAUGCCAUCAUGGGGUCGAGGUUGGUCUGAUCGUAAAGACUCAUUGUUAGAUAGUCUUAAAAGAGAUUAAUAAUAAAGCAAGAGAAUUAAAAAUAAAAACCCUAAAAUCAGAAAAUAACUUUAAAAAAAUAUAAAUUCACUUCACUAUACCUUAAAAAAAUAACUUUAAAAAAAUAUAAAUUCAUCUCACUGUAAAAAUUACGUUAAACAUUUUAAAAAAAUAAAUCCCUCAAUAACCAAAAAAAUAAGAACCAACAACAUAAAUUACAAUAUAAAUAAUUACAUUAAACAUUUAAAAAAACAAAUCCCUCGUUAACAAAAAAAAAAUAGAAACGAACACCAAAAAUUUAUUAUGAUGUCUCCUUGCUGUCCUGACUUACAGUAAAACAUAACGACUUUCCAGAUUUUUCUCCCUGCAUGUCGGCAUAUAUACUUUGUUUCAGUUUCUAAAUGGAAAAUACUCGUACAUAAAAAAAAAAUUGAAUUGAUCAAUACAUUGAUAUAUUUAAAAAGAGAAUAAAAGUAAUAAAUUUAUAGAAUAUAUAACGUGAUAAAAAGAAAAAGAUAUGAAGAAAAAAAUAAAUAUAUAAUAGACAUCUAAAAUUAAAUAAAAUUAAUAGGUUUAUAAUGUAUGUUAUAAAAGAAUAUAAUAGAUUUAGAGUUGCUCCUUUCUAAAGUAGGACUACGGUUUUUCGUUCGAAUAUACAAUGAGGCCAAAAUUAUGGGUGAGUGGGACUGAUCAUUCUGGAAACACUAGGGCCAAUGUACUUCCCAUCUUAAUAAUGAUCAAUCAACAUAUUAGACAGUUUUAAAUAAAAAAUCAAUUUGGGGGUAAGACUCCCAAGCAAGAAUGAGUAUAGUAGGACUUUUUUUUUUACAAUGUUAGUAUUAGUAUUUGUAAAUGGAUAGAAUUAAAUUUAUUAUUUAUCUUAUCCUUCAUUUCAAAACCUACCAAACUAAUUUUAUAUUUUUAAAUUAUUAGUGGGGAGAAUUACAUUUACAGCCUUCUCUCAUUUUCCUUUUCAUUUUUACCAUUUAACCAUCCUUAGAUCCCUCAUGUAUGAUGGGUUUUUGAAUGAGAUUAAACCUCAACAAGAGACACACCCCUUUCAAUCAGGAUCCAGGACAACUUGAAAUCAUAUUUUGAACAAGAAACAAGCUGCAAUACCUAAUAAGGCUCGCACACCUGACCCCAAUCUACAUUCCUCGACAACAAGCUACCAUGGCUGUCCUAAACCACCGCACACCAUACCCAAAAUUACUGCAUUCUUACCAUUACAUUGUAUUGCUUUGUUAUAGUUCAUGCAUGACACUACUUUUGGUUUCAAAGUGGUUCAGGAAAUGGAUUUGGAUAUUUUUCUGUUC
rnacentral:sRNA from 1 species